rnacentral:rRNA from 1 species
AGAGUUUGAUCCUGGCUCAGAUUGAACGCUGGCGGCGUGCUUAACACAUGCAAGUCGAGCGAGAAAGCUCUCUUCGGAGAGUGAGUAGAGCGGCGCACGGGUUAGUAACGCGUGGAUAAUCUGCCCUGAAGAUCGGGAUAACAGCUGGAAACGACUGCUAAUACCGUAUAAUCUGCAUAUUUAACUUUAUGUGGGAAAGAUGGCCUCUACUUGUAAGCUAUCACUUUUGGAUGAGUCCGCGUCUCAUUAGCUUGUUGGUGGGGUAAUGGCCUACCAAGGCAACGAUGAGUAGCUGGUCUGAGAGGAUGAUCAGCCACACUGGGACUGAAACACGGCCCAGACUCCUACCGGAGGCAGCAGUGGGGAAUAUUGCGCAAUGGGGGAAACCCUGACCGCAGCGACGCCUCGUGUAGGAAGAAGCCUUCGGGUCGUAAACUACUGUCAAGAGGGAAGGAACCGUAGAGUAUUAAUACGACUCUGCGCUGACGGUACCUCUAGAGGAAGCACCGGCUAACUCCGUGCCAGCAGCCGCGGUAAUACGGAGGGUGCGAGCGUUAAUCGGAAUCACUGGGCGUUAAGCGUGCGUAGGCGGCGUAUCAAGUCAGGCGUGAAAGCCCUCGGCUCAACCGGGGAAUUGCGCUUGAAACUGGUAUGCUAGAGUCUCGGAGAGGUUGGCGGAAUUCCAGGUGUAGGAGUGAAAUCCGUAGAUAUCUGGAGGAACACCGGUGGCGAAGCCGGCCAACUGGACGAGUACUGACGCUGAGGUACGAAAGCGUGGGUAGCCAACAGGAUUAGAUACCCUGGUAGUCCACGCUGUAAACGAUGGAUAUUAAGUGUCGG